ensembl:lncRNA
CAUGUUUUUGUUGCUUUUUGUUUACUAUUCAUGAACAUCUGGACUAUUAAGAUUCUGCACAAAUGUUUGAAGAAUUGCGGUUUUCUAUAUUAAUACCUGCAUAGCCAUCGUGAAGAGGACUGACAGGAACCACAUGAUGGAUAUCUCAGGAGGUGGAGAUUGCAAAAGUUCUUUAUCAAUAAGUUGCCAGCCAUCAUCUCAAGAGUCUAGAUUUGCUACUUGAAAUAUGCAGCAUAUGAAAUGUGAAAACGACGUGUCAUAUUGCAUCCUAAUUAGAAAUGGUGAGUACUGAAGAAAAACAACCUAUGCACAAUCAUUUAUUUGAGUUUUGAAAUUAACUUAGACUGAUUGUACCCUUUGUGCUCCCUUUCCAUUAAUAUUCCAGCAAAUGAAUUUUCUAGCAGGCAUAAGCAC